GGUUGCAUGGUGUAGCGGUUAUCACAUCAGAUUUUGAUUCUGGGAAUCCCGGUUCGACUCCGGGUGCGACCU
rfam:Sugiyamaella lignohabitans strain CBS 10342 chromosome D, complete sequence.